rnacentral:rRNA from 1 species
UACGUAGGGGGCUAGCGUUGUCCGGAAUCAUUGGGCGUAAAGCGCGUGUAGGCGGUCCGGUAAGUCCGCCGUGAAAGUCGAGGGCUCAACCCUCGAAUGCCGGUGGAUACUGUCGGGCUUGAGUACGGGAGAGGCGAGUGGAAUUCCUGGUGUAGCGGUGAAAUGCGCAGAUAUCAGGAGGAACACCAAUGGCGAAGGCAGCUCGCUGGGACGUGACUGACGCUGAGACGCGAAAGCGUGGGGAGCAAACAGG